rnacentral:rRNA from 1 species
UACGUAGGGUGCAAGCGUUAAUCGGAAUUACUGGGCGUAAAGCGUGCGCAGGCGGUGAUGUAAGACAGAUGUGAAAUCCCCGGGCUCAACCUGGGAACUGCAUUUGUGACUGCAUCGCUGGAGUACGGCAGAGGGGGAUGGAAUUCCGCGUGUAGCAGUGAAAUGCGUAGAGAUGCGGAGGAACACCGAUGGCGAAGGCAAUCCCCUGGGCCUGCACUGACGCUCAUGCACGAAAGCGUGGGGAGCAAACAGG